rnacentral:rRNA from 1 species
AUACGUAGGGGGCGAGCGUUGUCCGGAAUGACUGGGCGUAAAGGGCGCGUAGGCGGCUCGAUAAGUUGGAUGUGAAAUACCCGUGCUCAACAUGGGGGUUGCAUUUAAGACUGUCGAGCUGGAGUGCAGGAGAGGAAAGCGGAAUUCCCAGUGUAGCGGUGAAAUGCGUAGAGAUUGGGAGGAACACCAGUGGCGAAGGCGGCUUUCUGGACUGUAACUGACGCUGAGGCGCGAAAGCGUGGGGAGCAAACAGGAUUAGAUACCCUGGUAGUCCACGCUGUAAACGAUGGAUGCUAGGUGUAGGAGGUAUCGACCCCUUCUGUGCCGGAGCAAACGCAAUAAGCAUCCCGCCUGGGGAGUACGGCCGCAAGGUUGAA